rnacentral:rRNA from 1 species
AUGUAUGGCCGCGACCCUUCUCGAGCCAGGUUUGCCGCCGGCUGCUCUGGAGGUGGUUGGGGUCCCGGAUCUGGGCAAGUUGUGGCCUUUGGUGACUCUCGGGGUGGUCUCAUGGCAGUGCGGCGACCCUGGCCGUGGGAGCCGAGUUGGUCGUGGGCGGAUUGCACGGCUCGGCUACAGACAGGCAACCAUGGCCGCUCGGGCGGCAUGGCUGCGGGUGGUUGGCGGACUGGGGUUACGGCGGAGGGGUUGAAGCACCGCGGUCCAUCACCUACCCAGUCCGUGCACUGGUUGGUGAUGGCGUCCGUGGACGACGUGUUCCUCCUUGCAGGCUCCGUCGUGGUGCUUCUACUCCUUCCGUCUUACUCCGGGUGA